UACGGGGGGGGGCAAGCGUUUGUUCGGAAUUACUGGGCGUAAAGGGCUCGUAGGUGGCCAACUAAGUCGGACGUGAAAUCCCCAGGCUCAACUUGGGAAUUGCGUCCGAUACUGGAUGGCUUGAAUUCGGGAGAGGGAUGCAGAAUUCCAGGUGUAGCGGUGAAAUGCGUAGAUAUCUGGAGGAAUACCGGUGGCGAAGGCGGGUCUCUGGGCAACAACUGACGCUGAGGAGCGAAAGCGUGGGGAGCGAACAGG
rnacentral:rRNA from 1 species